rnacentral:rRNA from 1 species
CGGGGGGAGCAAGCGUUGUUCGGAUUUACUGGGCGUAAAGGGCGCGUAGGCGGCGCAACAAGUCACUUGUGAAAUCUCCGGGCUUAACCCGGAGCGGCCAAGUGAUACUGUCGUGCUAGAGUGCGGAAGGGGCAACUGGAAUUCUCGGUGUAGCGGUGAAAUGCGUAGAUAUCGAGAGGAACACCUGCGGCGAAGGCGGGUUGCUGGGCCGACACUGACGCUGAGGCGCGAAAGCCAGGGGAGCGAACGGGAUUAGAUACCCCGGUAGUCCUGGCCUUAAACGAUGGAUGCUUGGUGUCCGAGGUUACAUAGUCCUCGGGUGCCGUCGCUAACGCCUUAAGCAUCCCGCCUGGGGAGUACGGUCGCAAGACUG